rnacentral:rRNA from 1 species
GUGUCAGCAGCCGCGGUAAUACGUAGGGUGCGAGCGUUAAUCGGAAUUACUGGGCGUAAAGCGUGCGCAGGCGGUUCGACAAGUCCGAUGUGAAAGCCCCGGGCUCAACCUGGGAAUGGCAUUGGAAACUGGCGAGCUUGAGUGUGGCAGAGGGGGGUGGAAUUCCGCGUGUAGCAGUGAAAUGCGUAGAGAUGCGGAGGAACACCGAUGGCGAAGGCAGCCCCCUGGGCUGACACUGACGCUCAGGCACGAAAGCGUGGGGAGCAAACAGGAUUAGAUACCCCGGUAGUCC